rnacentral:rRNA from 1 species
UGGGGAAUUUUGGACAAUGGGGGCAACCCUGAUCCAGCUAUGCCGCGUGAGUGAAGAAGGCCUUCGGGUUGUAAAGCUCUUUUGUCAGGGAAGAAAAGGCUGUGGCUAAUAUCCACAGCUGCUGACGGUACCUGAAGAAUAAGCACCGGCUAACUACGUGCCAGCAGCCGCGGUAAUACGUAGGGUGCAAGCGUUAAUCGGAAUUACUGGGCGUAAAGCGUGCGCAGGCGGUUUCGUAAGUCUGUCGUGAAAUCCCCGGGCUUAACCUGGGAAUGGCGAUGGAGACUGCGAGGCUAGAGUUUGGCAGAGGGGGGUAGAAUUCCACGUGUAGCAGUGAAAUGCGUAGAGAUGUGGAGGAACACCGAUGGCGAAGGCAGCCCCCUGGGUCAAAACUGACGCUCAUGCACGAAAGCGUGGGGAGCACAACAGGAUUAGAUACCCUGGUAGUCCACGCCCUAAACGAUGUCUACUAGUUGUUGGGUCUUAAUUGACUUAGUAACGCAGCUAACGCGUGAAGUAGACCGCCUGGGGAGUACGGUCGCAAGAUUAAAACUCAAAGGAAUUG